rnacentral:rRNA from 1 species
ACGAACCCUUCGGGGUUAGUGGCGCACGGGUGCGUAACGCGUGGGAACCUGCCUUAAGGUUCGGAAUAACUCAGAGAAGUUUGAGCUAAUACCGAAUAAUGUCUUCGGACCAAAGAUUUAUCGCCUUUAGAUGGGCCCGCGUUAGAUUAGAUAGUUGGUGGGGUAAUGGCCUACCAAGUCGACGAUCUAUAGCUGGUCUGAGAGGAUGAUCAGCCACACUGGGACUGAGACACGGCCCAGACUCCUACGGGAGGCAGCAGUGGGGAAUAUUGGACAAUGGGCGAAAGCCUGAUCCAGCAAUGCCGCGUGAGUGAUGAAGGCCUUAGGGUUGUAAAGCUCUUUUACUAGGGAUGAUAAUGACAGUACCUAGAGAAUAAGCUCCGGCUAACUCCGUGCCAGCAGCCGCGGUAAUACGGAGGGAGCUAGCGUUGUUCGGAAUUACUGGGCGUUAAGCGCACGUUAGCGGCCUACCAAGUCAGGGGUGAAAUCCCGGGGC